rnacentral:rRNA from 1 species
GAUGAACGCUGGCGGCGUGCCUAAUACAUGCAAGUCGAGCGAACAGAUGAGGAGCUUGCUCCUCUGACGUUAGCGGCGGACGGGUGAGUAACACGUGGAUAACCUACCUAUAAGACUGGGAUAACUUCGGGAAACCGGGGCUAAUACCGGAUAAUAUAUUGAACCGCAUGGUUCAAUAGUGAAAGACGGUUUUGCUGUCACUUAUAGAUGGAUCCGCGCCGCAUUAGCUAGUUGGUAAGGUAACGGCUUACCAAGGCAACGAUGCGUAGCCGACCUGAGAGGGUGAUCGGCCACACUGGAACUGAGACACGGUCCAGACUCCUACGGGAGGCAGCAGUAGGGAAUCUUCCGCAAUGGGCGAAAGCCUGACGGAGCAACGCCGCGUGAGUGAUGAAGGUCUUCGGAUCGUAAAACUCUGUUAUUGGGGAAGAACAAAUGUGUAAGUAACUAUGCACGUCUUGACGGUACCUAAUCAGAAAGCCACGGCUAACUACGUG